GUACCCCGCGCCGCUCCCGCUCCCCUCACUCGGCGAGCGAGAGUGAUUCAUCAUCAUGCCCACCUCGUCUCGGUUCUCUCUCCUUGCCCCCAUCGGCCCCCAAAAUCAGCAGCGCUAUCAUCUUCCAGACGAAAUGUAAUCACCGUCCGUGUGGACUCGCGGGCGCGAUCGAUAACACCGCCAUCGUCAUCGUUGGGGCGUACGUGGUGUGUACGAACUACAGCACCUGGGACUCGAUGCGUUGGAACGUCGAUUUCCAAUGCAGUGGUUUUGAAGAGAAGGCCCUUCUUCCUUCUACGCCCCGACUCUCCUGACCCAACUAAACCCAACGCGUGACCGCCAACAGCAAACCCGCCCGCAGUAGCAGGCGCCGCCUGGUGGACGGAAGGUAGGCAACCCAUCGGACGCGCCGACCCGACGGCUUGACUGCCUGCAGGCGCGGCGGUCGCAAGGGAGGGGAGCGGCAACGCGUCGGCCAACAGUGGCGGCAGUGGCGCGCUUCAUCGUCGUUUUCCCACAGGUCCGCCGUUGGCAAGCAACAGCGGGGACAUUUUUGUCUGCGUCGCCGUGUGCAGAUUGCAUAUCGGGGCUGUGUAUGCGGGUGCCGCACUGGUGCCGCGUGCGUCGGCCACCCGUCCCGCACCCUCCACCUCCACCCCGUCUCUCCCCCAUACGGGCGGGCGCGGCCAAACGUCCGUUUCACACACAAAAAACAAUCAUAAGUGGAAGUACGUUCGUACACCGCUGUCGUGGGUGGAGGUGGGUAACUUGGUGGGUGUACAAUGCACCUCCAAAGUUAGAAGCGGGCGCAAACCGCUUCCAUAGCUUUUUGAAUCUGUCUGUGGACUGAUAAAUUUUCACUCCAGACACGACGAAAACAUGAAACCACUACCCCACCCGGGCCUCGGCCCGGCCCCGUGAACCCGAGGCACGAUAUGUCGGAUCACAAACCCAUUCGUACGCAAGUACUUCAGCAAGGAAAGCCUCCAAAAUCGCGCUCAAUACGUGAGAGGAAAAAGACUCCCUCGCUCGCCCCGCUUCGUCCAGGAGGCAGAGGCCAUCCUCACUGACCUGGGUAACGCGUACAUGGCGAGGACUCUCGAUGACGCACAAGAGUUUUUCCAGGGGAUGGUAGGCGCCCCUGGAGAGGAGUCUCUUGUUUUCGCCAGUAAGAGAUUAUUGGGACUGAUUCAAAAGGACGACGUUGUGCAAGGCGACGACACUUACAAAAUUAGACCAUACCUUGAACAAGUCAAGACACGUCUUCAUAGUGUCAUUAUACACCAAUGACCAAAUGUAUCCAGUUGCGUGCGCCGCUAUAACUAAUGGCACCGCCACGGCGUACGCAGCUGUCCUUGAAAACCUGAAGGAGCUUAUGGACUCUGUCCUAGGGGCUGUCAAAAUAAGAUACGGUUUGGCCGACCGACCGACCGACCAACCGUCAACCUCGGAACGACCAGGACGACUGAAAUAUCGUGUUCCAGGAUUGUCUCGCACGCCGAGUCCAAAUCUGGUAGUGCCGAUGUCGUCCGGGCCCCCGGGGACGUCAUUGGGGACCUCCCGAGCACGCCGAUGACACUCCCAUGACACUCCCACGACAAAUACGAUUCAGCUCCAAAAGUUGUUACACACGGGCGGGCUGGUGCAUAUUUCUUAAAAGUCGCCAAAUAUAAUUAUUAUUAAUAGCAAAUCGCCCAUCAUAGUUUCUUAUCCUGAUCAUUUCACUAUUGUCAACAUGGCACUUCCCUGGCGUUGCCGUCUUGGAGCCACACAACGAUGCACGGGACGGGAAGCAUCCCCAAAGGAUCACAUCCUGGACAAGCGAGGCGUGAUUGCCUACCCCAGGAAAGAAUCACAUAUCCCGCGACCACGACAUGUCGGAACUCGGCCCAGAAAUGUUCUUGACAUGAGCAAGAGAAGUCUAUGGAGUCAUUUUACCCAAAAAAAUAGGUGAGUUGACAUGACAGUAACCGCCAACGCUGGUCCAAUUUGUCUCUGUACAGACACUAUGAGGAGCUUCCUUUCGUGUGCAUCAAAGGGUGGUAUUUGAUGUUUUUUUGUAGUGCCUUGGUUCUUUGUUGUCGAUUUCAAUCCUCCUCUGUCAAAAUCCAGGCUGAUUUGUUAUCACUGAAAAUGUCCGUAAAAAUCUUGGCAGAAAUCUUGGCAAUUUGGAAAAUUGCUGGUAUUGGUUUGGAUUGGUGGGGCAGACUCCCUUUACACAUGCUCUGUCUAAAUAUCAUGGUGCCGACCCACUACAGCGGAGUUCUUAGCCAGUGGGCCUAAGGUAGCCUACCCACCCUUAGUUAAAGAGACCAGCUCUUAUAAAACUCAAGUUUUUGUGGACAGGGGUGGUUUUUGACAGAUACAAACGUAGUUUUUUGGUGCCUGGUUUACUCCUGUCGAUUCGAAUACUCCUCCAUCGAAAUCCGGACCCAUCAAUUUAUAGCCUUUGUAAAUUUUGCCAAAAAUGAAAAAAAUUUGAAAAUCCCUCGAAAUGGUUGGGAUUGGUCCGACAGCAUCCUGUUUCAAUCUCUCCGUCGAAAUUUCGCGCCGCCGGUCCAUUUCAAGUGAGUUACGACUGUUUUUCCUGGACUGGUUCUCCUGCGAGGUAGGCAGCCCAUCGUACGCUGCCCGCCAGAUUCAAAAGACCUCCUCUUAAAACGCAAGUUUCUGUGGACAGAGGUGGUUUCUGACGGAACCAAAAGUAAUUUUGUGGUCCCCUGGUUCACCUCUGUCGAUUCGACUACUUUUCCGUCGAAAUCCGGAUCCAUCAAUUUUUGCUAAAAACACAAAGGCUAUAGCCUUUGUAUAUUUUGCCAAAAA